UACGUAGGGUGCGAGCGUUGUCCGGAAUUAUUGGGCGUAAAGAGCUCGUAGGCGGCUUGUCGCGUCGGAUGUGAAAGCCCGGGGCUCAACCCCGGGCCUGCAUUCGAUACGGGCAGACUAGAGUUCGGUAGGGGAGUCUGGAAUUCCUGGUGUAGCGGUGAAAUGCGCAGAUAUCAGGAGGAACACCGGUGGCGAAGGCGGGACUCUGGGCCGAUACUGACGCUGAGGAGCGAAAGCGUGGGGAGCAAACAGG
rnacentral:rRNA from 1 species